GGGAUGGGUGCAUUUCAAUAGUCAACAGUAGCAAAGCCUUCGCUGGCUUUCUUCUCGUUUCCUCACCUGCACUGAUCUAACGGCACAGGAUAAUAAAUGUGAUGGGAGCCUUUCACCUGCUCAGUGACAAUAAGAAGUGAGGUAAUGAGUUGAGCUAAGGAGACGAGGUAAGGUGAGGAGGCCCCUUUGGAUUCACUCGAGACGCACUUAAGCUGUCAAUGUGAUGCUUACCUGGACGCUCGGGCGGUUGUGGCAAUACCUUCUCUCCUCUAUGGUCCGUUCCACAUUGUCCAACUGGUGCCUGGCAGUAUCCCUCUGGUGAAAAGAGAACGCCGGGUGCAGCGAGGCCAUGGUGAAAAGCAGCGCCAAGUGCUCCAGGGAACCCGACUCUGCCUCCAGUGGAGGCCCACUGGGAUGCUCCAAUCUCCCGGACUUCAUUCCACCAUCGCGAGGGGAAUGUUGAUCAGGAGGAUGACAGGUGUCCCCUGGACAGACAACCUGUAGCAGUGGAGAGCUGUAACUGCCCCCAUGGGAAACCUGGGCCUCCUGGUCUUCUUGGGCCUAUUGUGAUUAAGUAAUACCAUGUUAGACUAGAAAAGUACAUUUCCAGAAGAAAAUGUGGUGUGCUUGCUAGCUUGUUUUAAAGUAUUUAUGGUUAUGAGGUAAGUUAUAGUAGUGGUAGGGACUGCAAUAGAAAUGGUAGUGACUGGUUAUAGUUGAAAAAGUCGGUAGAUGAAGAGAUUGGUUGGUUGUUUGAUUUAUUUGGAUGGGAUAAGAUAGGAUAGCAUGAACAUUUGAAAGUUGUUUUUGUGUGUCUAGCUUGAGCGGUUCAAGAGUUACUGUUGGUGAGUUAUUUUCUGCAAAUGUAUGCACAUUUAUAUAGUUAUAGUUUAUAAAUGGUUGUAAGAAUUUUAUGUUAGGAUAGCCUGAACAUGUGAAAGAUGGUUUGGUGUCUUUAGCUUGAACGGCUCAAUAAUUACUGUUGGUGAGUUAUUUUAUGCACGUUUAUAUAGUUCUAGUUGAAUACAUUUUUAAAGAAUUUAAAGUUAGGAUAGCCUGAACAUGUGAAAGUUGAUUUGGUUUAUUUCCAUUGAAAUGGAUUUGAUUUUAAAUAUUGUUGUAGUUCAAAAAGUAAAAAUACUAUCAAAAAUGUUUUCUGAAGCAAUCUAAGUUGGAGACGUAUGCACAUCUGAAAGUUUGUUUUGUGGUAAUAUCUUAAAGCGUUUAAGCGCAAGAGUGAGCCGAAUAAAUAAAACAAUUAUUUGACUAUGUAAGCCAUUUAAAGUUGCGCUUUGCCUUCAGCAAGCACACCAAUGUAAUUUUUUUUAGACCUUUUUCUCCCCAAUUUCGUGUCUCAUUGCUGCAACUCCCAUAUGGACCCGGGAGAGGCGAAGGU